CCUACGGGAGGCAGCAGUGGGGAAUAUUUCACAAUGGGGGAAACCCUGAUGCAGCGACGCCGCGUGAGUGAAGAAGGAUUUCGGUAUGUAAAGCUCUAUCAGCAGGGAAGCAAAUUACGGUAACUGAUUAAGAAGCCCCCGCUAACUACGUGCCAGCAGCCGCGGGAAUACGUAGGGGGCAAGCGUUAUCCGGAUUAGCUGGGUUUAAAGGGUGCGUAGGCGGAGUGUCAAGUCAGCGGUAAAUUUUCGGGGCUAAACCCCGUCGUGCCGUUGAAACUGACGCCCUUGAGUGAGUGAGAAGUAAGCGGAAUGCGUGGUGUAGCAGUGAAAUGCAUAGAUAUCACGCAGAACGCCGAUUGCGAAGGCAGCUUACCGGCGCUCAACUGACGCUGAGGCACGAAAGUGCGGGUAUCGAACAGGAUUAGAUACCCCAGUAGUC
rnacentral:rRNA from 1 species